rnacentral:rRNA from 1 species
CCUACGGGAGACAGCAGUGAGGAAUAUUGGUCAAUGGCCGAGAGGCUGAACCAGCCAAGUCGCGUGAGGGAAGACGGCCCUACGGGUUGUAAACCUCUUUUGUCGGGGAGCAAAGCGACCCACGUGUGGUUCAUUGAGAGUACCCUAAGAAAAAGCAUCGGCUAACUCCGUGCCAGCAGCCGCGGUACUACGGAGGAUACGAGCGUUAUCCGGAUUUAUUGUGUUUAAAGGGUGCGCAGGCGGAGGUGCAAGUCAGCGGUCAAAUUGCGGGGCUCAACCCCGUACUGCCGUUGAAACUGCAUCCCUUGAGUGCGCGAGAAGUAUGCGGAAUGCGUGGUGUAGCGGUGAAAUGCAUAGAUAUCACGCAGAACUCCGAUGGCGAAGGCAGCAUACCGGCGCGCAACUGACGCUCAUGCACGAAAGCGUGGGUAUCGAACAGGAUUAGAUACCCGUGUAGUC